GGGAGAUGUUUCCUCGGUUCUGUCACUUCUUAGAGUUUUCUCCCGAAAGUUUAUUUCUCGAAAUUUCUGGAGAUAAUUCUUUUUCAAAGAUUUUCACAAGCAGAGAAGUUCACGACAUCCUUAAAAUAGGUUUCAAGUUUCCUUAAUCCUGGAAAGCGCUUGAAUCCGUAUGGAAUAAUCGUUGAGAAUGUGGAUGUGGAGAAACCAUCAUUGACAGAUUGAACAGCUAAAGAAGUAGCAACAUAAAACAGAUAAGUUCUCUCUUCUACUGUCAGACUCUUACUUUUCUUUAAGUUGUAUGAAACUCCAAAAAGAUCAAAGGCAGGCAUUAAUCUAAUAGUGUUCUGCCAGAAUCUUAUUUGGAGACAUUGUCCCGACUCCCUAUUGCGUGAGGCUUAGACCCAGAGGAAAUUUAAACCAUGACCCUAGAAACUAUUAGUUGGUAGUGCAAGGAGAUGUUUGGGGGAUGGAAAGUAAAAACACACUUUAGUACCCACGGCUUUAUAAAAACAACUGUCCGCUUAAAAAUAGUCUCUAGACAGAAAAUGGCUAUGUCUAAGGCUAUGAAAUUGAGGGAUGGAUAAAGGGUGCCAAAUAUUAGUACCAGCGGCUUAAAAUGAAGUCUUUAGACAGAGACUGUGAUUGAAAACGUCUUCAUCACAUUAAAAGAAGUCUUUAGACAGAGACUGUGAUUGAAAACGUCUUCAUCACAUCUGUACCCACGGCUUGCAAGAAAGUCUCUGUCAAAAGUUUAGUACCAACGGCUUAAAAAGAAGUAUUUUGACAAAGACUGUGAUUGAAAACAUAUUCAUCACAUUAGUACCCACGGCUUGACAAAAAGGGUCUUUAGACAAAGACCUUUUAGUACCAACGGCUUUAAAAGUCUUUAGACAGAGGCUUAAAAAGAGUCUUUACCCACGGCUUGCAAGAAUGUCUUUUGUCAAAGACUGUGAUGAAAAUUCAUUAACACAAAGGAUAUGAAUUGUUUUUGAACUUGUUGAAUGGAAAUAACGAUCACAAGUCAUGAAAACUAAUUGUCCCGAGUGCAAGAAAGUCUUUUGACAAAGAUUGUGAUUGGAAUAUGUUUUCAUCACAUUAGUAGUACCCACGGCUUGCCAAAAAAGGUCUUUGUAAAGACCUUUUAGUACCAACGGCUUAAAAAGAAAUCUUUAGACAGAGGCUUAAAAAAAAAGUCUUUACCCACUGCUUACAAGAAAGUCUUUUGAAAGAAAAUGACUAUGUCUAAGGCUAUGACAUCGUUGGAAGGACUCAUCAACACAAAGGAUCAGAUUUGGUUUUGAACUUGUUGAAUGGAAAUAACGAUCACAAGUCAUGAAAACUAAUUGUCCCGAGUCCCGUUGCGUGAAAUGACGAUCACAAGUUACUCAAAUGUGAUUGGAAAAUCUUGCUACCCACGGCUUUACUAAGGGGUUUUAGUACCAGCGGCUUAAAAAAGAAGUCUUUAGACAGAGACUGUGAUUGAAAACGUCUUCAUCACAUUAGUACACACCGCUUGCACAAGAAUGUCUUUUGUCAAAGACUGUGACUGAAUAUGUUUUCAUCACAUUUGUACCCACGGCUUUCCAAAAAGGUCUUUAGACAAAGACCUUUAACUACCAACGGCUAAAAAAAGUCUUUAGACAGAGGCUUAAAAAAAAGUCUUUACCCACGGCUUGCAAGAAUGUCUUUUGACAAAGACUGAUGAAAAUGUAUUCAUUACAUUAGAGUACCCACGACUUAGAAAAGACCAAUGGCUUAAAAAAAAAUUUAGACAAAGGCUACGAGAUCGUCCCAAUGGCUCUAAAACAGUAUUAGUUGGUUGGUAGUGCAUGUCUAAGCAAGAGACAUUUGGGGGAUGGUAAAGUGAAAUAUGCUUUAGUACCCACGGCUUUACAAAAACAACCAUCGGCUUACAAAAUGUCUUUAGACAAAACAACCAUCGGCUUACAAAAUGUCUUUAGACAGAAAAUGACUAUGUCUAAGGCUAUAAGAUCGUUGGAAGGAUUCAUUAACACAAAGGAUAUGAAUUGGUUUUGAACUUGUUGAAUGGAAAUAACAAUCACAAGUCAGAAAACUAAUCUUGCUACCCAAGGCUUAAAAAACCAGUCUUUAGACAGAGGUUGUGAUUGAAAAAACGUAUUCACUACGUGAGUACCCACGGCUUGCAAGAAAGUCCCGAGACAAGGACUGUGAAUCAUAAAAUUAGUACCACAUGGCUUGCAAAAGGUCUUUAGACAAAGACUGUGAUUAUAAACGUUUUCAGCUCAUUACCCACGGCUUUGCAAAAAGGGUCUUUAGACAGAGACUGUGAUUGAAAACAUAUUCAUCACAUUUGUGUACCCACGGCUUUGCAAGGAAGUCUUUAGACAAAUACUGAGUGAACACGUCUGCAUCACACUAGUACACACUGCUUGCAACUGUGAUUGAAAACGUCUUCAUCACACUAGUACCCACGGCUUGCCAUAAAAGGUCUUUAGGCAGAGACUGUGAUUGAAUACGUCUUCAUCACACUAGUACCCAAGGCUUACAAAACUACCUACGGCUUAUGAGUUGGUUUAGACAAAUAUUGGUACAUAAGACUUGAGAGAAUCGAAACCGGAUCCAUUGCUUACACACGACUCUAUGAAAAAAAUGAUGUUCGGUGAUGCGAAGUAUGACAAAACUUAAAACCAAAGUCUUACCAAACAACUUUUUAGACAGACUGUGAUUAUAACCCACGGCUUAUAAAAGGUUGGAUUCAUCAAGUACUCACGGCUUAAAAAAAUGUAGACAAACACUCUAAAUCUAAACCAGAUCCUUUGCUUACCCACAGCUCUAUGAUGCAAAGGAUGUUUGAGGAUGAAAAGUGUGACAAAAUUUAGUACCAACAGCAUAAAGAAAAACAAGUCUUUAGACAGAGACUGUGAUUGUAAACGUACAUUGCGUUAGUAUCCGCGGCUUACAAGAAAGGUCUUCAGACAUAAAAGAAUGUGAUUGUAAAAUUAUUCAUCACAUUUGUACCCACGGCUUGCAAGAAAGGUCUUCAGAUAGAGACUGUGAUUGAAAACGUCUUCAUCACAUACACCCACGGCUUUACACAAAGACCUUUAACUACCAACGGCUUUAAAAGUCUUUAGACAGAGGCUUAAAAAAAGUCUUUACCCACGGCUUGCAAGAAUGUCUUUUGUCAAAGACUGUGAUGAAAAUUUAUUCAUCACAUACAGUACACACGGCUUCACAUAAAGGCUUUAGAAGAGUCUAGACAAUAUAUUUCUACCCACGGCUUAUGAAGGUCUAGACAACUAUAACCAACGGCUUACAAAGAAACCUUAGACAAUAUUGCUCCCCAUGACCAGCGGCUUAAUGAAGUCUUGAGACAGAGACUAUGCACCCGAAAACUAAUUCUUCACAUCAACCACAAGGCUUAAAAAUCACUAGACAAAGAACAAACAAAAAGAUCAGUUUAAAACAAAGAGCAAAAACAGACUCCUUACUAAAAUUAAGCCUUGUCAAAGCUUUUAGAAAAAAGACUACACGCCAAGUUUUUGGCUUGUUGGAUGGUAAAAACGACCAACAACUUAAACCAAUUUCAAGAUAGAGACUAAACCAAAUCGAGUUUUAGCUUGUUUGGAUGGUAAAAACGACCAACAGCUUAAACCAUGUCUUAAGACACUAUGAACCAAAAAUUGAUUCCUCACCUCACUAUGUACGGCUUAGGAAGUCCCUAUACAAAGACUUAUGUCAUAGUUACUACUUACAGGGUAAUAACUCACAAGAUAACUUUUUUUUGAACUUAAAGACUAAUUAGUUAUGAUUUCCUCAGGUUUUGUAUGUGCUUCAGAAGACUCAGAGAUGAUUUCAAGUGUAUCAGAUUUUUUUAACCAGGUAUGUGCUUUUCAAACUUGUUUGCUACUUAGUCGAUACAUUCAAUUAUGAAAAUCACAAGCAGGAGAGACUGAUAUGAAGUGAAGACUAAUUACAUUUGUUUAAGUACGUUCUUCACAAACUGUUCAUAUCUUCAUUGACGCCAAGGAUUUACCCAGGUAUAUGCUUUUCUUCACUUUUUAUCUUACAAAAUGAUAUUGUUACAUAUGAAUACAAACUAAGUUAAGUGAUAUAUGCGUAAAUGUAAAGGAAUUGGAAAGCUCUGUUAUUAUCUUUGACAAUGUUUCUCUCAUUGAUCUAGCAUUCAUAAGAUUCUAGAAACUGAUUGUUAACAUAUCCAUUGAUGAGAAAGUAGAUUCUUUUUUCAUAUUGGAACAUUAUAUUGUGUUUAAAGUGUAAUCUCUCUCUCUCUCUGUUCUCUUUAGUUUGGUGCUUGUAUGUAUGAUAAGGUCUUUUAUUUUAAUGAAAUUGAUGUAUGUUAGACUUUCUUGUAGAUCAUCCUAAAGUUGAGAGACUCCUGCAAACUGUGGUUGUAGUUUCUUUGAAUCUUGAAUGUUUUUGAUUUGUGCCAUGCGUUUAACCCUCAGUGGUCAUUCUAAACGUGUUAGAAUCUCUUUAUCUUGGUGCUUUUCUGUAUUAUAAGGUCUCUCAUUUUUUGAAAUCUAUGUAUCUUGGACUCUGGCAGAUCAACAUAGGUGGGAGAUUCCAUCUGUUGUUGUAGUAGUUCUGUUUUUGAAUCUUGAUGAAUAUUUCUAUUUUGUGAUAUGCUCUUAAGCCUCAGUGAUAAUUCAAAAUGGUGUUAGUAUCUCUUUAGUUUGGUGCUUUUAUGUAUUUUAAGGUCUCUCUUUUAUGAAUUGGGUAUGUUUUAGAGUCUCUUUGUAGAUUAACAGGUGAAACUCCUAUAGAUUGUGUGAGUAGUUUCUUUGAAUUUUGAAUGUAUCUGUUUUUUGUUAUGCCUCUCCUACUCUCAGUGAUCCUUCUAAACUGCGUUAGUAUUCUGUAUGUUGAUCAGAAAAAGUUAUUUUUCAAAAUUAGUUUGGUUCUUGUAUGUAUUAUAAUGUAACUGAUUUCUAGGAAGUCACUUCUAGAUCAACGAAGGAAAAAAAAAAGUGUCUGUAGAAUUCUAGAAACUGAUUGAUAAUAUUCAUGAAAACGUAUAUUUUAUCCUCUGGUAUCAGAACAUUAGUUGUGUUUAGAUUGUUACUUUGUUUGUUGCUUGUAUGUAUGUUGGAUUUAGAGAUUAACGAAGGAUAAAAUCUUGCCGCUUGUGGUAAUAGUUUUCUUGAAUCUUGAAUGUUUAGGUUGUGUUUUAAUACUCUAAAUCCUCUGUGACCAUUUCUAAACAUGUGAAAUGACAAGCUCACAAUUCUCAUAUGCUGAUGAUUACUGUGUUACAUUCUAUAAUUGUUACAUCCUAUCCCUUUUGUCUCCUAGUCUUACAGGCACAGUUGAUGAAACUUGAAAUUUUUAAAUCAUUGUGAGUAGUUAAGAUUGUGCAAUUGAUCUUGCAUUUUAGUUCACUACUGGUCCUUCUUUGUUAUGCCUGAUUGUGAUCUUGAUUUUCUAAUAUGUUCGAAUUAUAAAUCAUCUUAACUCUUUUUUUUUUAAAUAGGAACAUUUAGUAAAUUAUCUAUUAUUUUCUUGAAAUAUAUUUUGAUGAUAAACUAUAAUACGUGUUUUCCAAAUAUAUUUUAUAAGUAGUUUAACUAUUUGUAAUUGUUGGUGUCAUCUAUUUUAUUAAAGUUGAAGUAAUUUUUAAAAAUAACUCUUUUUUCAUCUUAAUAAUUACAAUUUCAUGUGACUGGAUUAAUAACUAUAUCUAAUCUAUUAAAAGAGAAGUACAAAUUAAGACUAACUCUUAAACUUGUACAAUAUUUACAACCUAAUGUCAUUGAAAUCUUUUUCAAAAUUAAUGAAGUAAUAAUAUUACCCAUAAUUCUAUGUUUUCCAUGUCUUUUUAAAAAUUAAUAAAACAUUUCCUAAAUUAAAUUCACAAUCAAUUCAAUAUAAAUCUUUUAACUUAUCUAUGUCAUAUUAAUAUUAUAAACAUUCAUGAAUAUCAAUAAUAUACAUAAAAUAUUUAUGUAACAAUCAUACAAUAACUAAAAUGAGAAUAUCUUCAUCAGGGAGACCCUCCACGUCGGACUAGAAAAUCGACCAAUAGGAUCGCUGGUUUUCGUCAUGUCACCGAUGGGAUUAGGUAUUUUGGGCUUCAAUUUUUUAAUUUUUUUGUUCAGUUUUCAGGCCCAGUUAGCCCACCCUUUGGAAACUGUAACAAGCUUUCUCUCCCACGAUGUCUUCUCUGUUUCUUCUCUUCGUUCUUGGACGAUUCAUCUUCUUAACGGAAAGUCGAUCAAUCGACUCCACUCCAUCUAUGUGCAAUGAAUCCAUCAUUUAUGGGUUCUUUUCGCAUCUCUCCCUCUGAUUUUUUUUUAUAUCUCUAUCUUGCUCAAGGUAGUCUACACUAUCACAAUCGAAAUUUGCAAUGCAUUUCAACCGCAAUUCCACUGUUUCCGGCGGUUUUAUCUCGAAGCAAUCAAACGGAACUGAUGGAGCCUCCUCCACUGAGCCGAUCAAACAUACCGGCCAAUCCGGUGUCUCUUCCGCCGUACCGAUCAAACAUUAUCAUCCUCUUCGAUGCCAAGCCUAUAUUUUUGGUUAUCUUCAUCUCUCAAUCGGUUCAGUUUCCUUUGAGAAACAUGAAUAGCCCUUUUGGUUUCCAUGAAGCAGUGAAUCGUGAAUCUACUGCUAACUCUACGUCUCCCCCAUCUUAAUCGAUUGUCUAGCUCUUCCUCAUAUGUAUCUUCUGUCUAAAUUUGUAGAAGAAACUGUGUAGAUGAAGCAAAGAAGAAAUUUACAGGUUAUCCAAGAGGCUUAUACUUUCUUUUUCUUCAUCUUUGUCUUUUAAAUUAUUUUAUCACGGAAACAAAUGGGAGUUUAUUAUUGGGUACAGAAGAUCUUUUGUUAUUUCCUUGAUCUGUGUACUUUUUUAUUAUAAAAGUAUCGUUUUUGUGUCUGAUUAAGGUUUUCUUUUUCUAUUUGUUGUGGGAACAUAGUUUCGCCUGACUCCAACAAGAGGUUCGUGUAUGAUGUUGGAGCUUAUAAUAGUGAUGAUGAUAAGGCUGACCAAAACGGAAUGAGAGAUUUCUUGAACGAGAUGGCAGACAUGAUGAAUCUCUGCAUAGUGUAAGACUCUGCAUAAUGUAAGACUCUGCAUUAGUUUUUCCCUUUGGUUUAUUAUUAGACAUGACUGAUUGUUUGAUAUUUGAGAUGUUGAUUUUAGCAUGAGAAUAAUUUAGGGGACAGUUUUAAACUGGUACAAGAUCUGUUUAAUGAGAUGUUUCAAUGAGACGCCGCAGCAUUCCCAUCCUCAUCAUCAACGUCUUGGCUCGUGUUUCCAUCUGCUUGUUAUGUAAUCUAAGGAAGCCGACGGCGGUGGUUCUCUCUUUGGCGACAGAAGUAAAGACGUCAAUGGAGGCAGUUCUUAUAAAGAGGUUGGUGAUACCCAUUCCACAACUCGCAAGAUAGAAGUCCCGAGUUUAAAGGUUACUCAGUGUUUUGUAAACUAAGGGAGCGAGAAUCCAACUUAGUAGGCGGUAGUUAGGACCACCAGUGUUGUGUAUCGGAGAGAAUAACACUUCCUAACAAUUCCGUCCACUGCUUGGAAGCUCUCAGUUUCCUCGAUCAUCACUUUCAAUCUGAAAUCUUCCAGGGCUAGGCAUGAAAUGCCAUUCUUGUUCAUUAUUUUUCUUGAGGUCCCCGUUUACUUCCUUUUAUACACAACAGUCGCAGAACAAAGCUUUUAUUCUCUCUACUCCAUACACAAUAUUUCGUAUGUAGAUGAAGAAAAUCAAACCUCAUCGGUAAGGAGAAAAAUCUCCUUUUUUACACUAAACUUCAUUUCAUAUUGAAAGAAAGAUACAUACAGUGGCAGGGAUCAACCCUCCACGACCAAAGCCCCAAAAACAGGGAGACAAAGCCCGACAUUGGGAGCCAUACAAGAUCAAACAGAAAGAACACAACAAGGACAUCGGAGAUUCAAAUUAAGACAUUUAAGAUACUCAUGCAAUUAAUAAUCUAUAAUCUGGAACAGAUAAGAGUUAAAAAGCACCACCAAAAGGAGUAAA